GGACCUCAGAUCAGGCAAGACCACCCGCUGAGUUUAAGCAUAUCACUAAGCGGAGGAGAAGAAACUAACAAGAUUUCCUAGUUAACGGCGAGCGAACC
rnacentral:rRNA from 1 species